GUGAUAGUUGGGGGGGUCCGUGAUGUCUGCCACCGCAAUAACAGCUGGGCUGGCAGAACCGGUGUCAGAGCAGCGCCGCAAGGCAGGGCUGGGCUCCUGCGUUCUCCUCAUAAACACAUCUGGACUUAAAUGUUAGAGAAAUAGCGAUUACAGAGCUACAGCUACGGAGAGUUUGGAGACGAAGAAGAGACGGGGGUUCCUCUGUGCAUCUUGAAGAUGUCCGUAUCUGGGGCCUCCUGGAAGCUGGGCAGACAUUUUGGAGACCACAAGCCUUUUCUCUGCUGUUGCUCACUGCAAAAUUUCAUUUUCCUUCAGGGAAAUUACUGCACAGUACAGAACCAAGAGAUGCUGUAAGAAGUGUGACGUAACAAGCAAUGGGAAUGAACAAAAGUCCUUGGAGAUGUUGAGAUCGACGAGAAGUUCAUUGAGAAUUUUCACAAAAUUGAGAUGCCCUGAGAAAUGGCAGAUGGACAGAAUUCCCUGAAAAGGUCGCACAAAAGCUCAUAUCCGUUACCUAAAAAACUGCAUGCAUUUAGCACGGCCCUGUUAUUACCGCCUGUAAACGUUCUGCAGCUUCUGACUGCCAUUAGGAAAACAAAUUCUGCUUCCCAAGAGGAUCUGCCUCAUUCCUUCUCGUUCCUUUUCUUCCUUGAAGAGAAAUUUAUACAGCAUUUCUGCAUCUCUAAAGGCACAGGAAAGCUGCAGCUGCUACGAGGCAUUCUGAGUGUAACCGAACACAAAUUUUCACUGCAAAGGAAGAUUUACGACCGGCUGUUCCACUCAGCAGCUCUCUGAAGCAGAUUACCAGUGCUUGGUGAAACUGUUCACUCCUUCCUGCUCAGGCUGGGGAAGAAGUGCCAUCGCCUGCAGUCUCAGUGCAGCACAGAGAGCCUCCGUGCAGCAGCGCCCGUUGUGGGCUGAGGGACCUCCUCUGUGCCCAGCCGUGGUGCUCCGCUGGGCUUUGAAAGCUUGUUCUCCUUGGUACCCGAUUCUUACAAUUGCACAAGACCUCGCUAAAGCAAUUACCUUUAAUUACAACGCUAAAAAAACUUGCAUUUGAGAGCGAACACUUUGCCACAAAUCGUUAAAACACGGAAUAGGCGAAUCAGUGUUACUUUACAGCCUCUGGCAUUUUCUUUUUUCCUCCAAACUGGCAUCAAACCAAACGAUAACUCCUACAUCGUCCCUCCCGCGGCCCGAGGCGAGGAUCCCCUUCUGCCGCCUCAAAGCGCCUCGCAGCUCACGGCAGGGCUCGGCCGGCAUAGCGCCAGGCGGGACUGCAGCGCCCCCUGGUGGCAGCGCCCGUGGCGGCACUCCGCGCCCGACGGUCCCAAGGGAGGCGGCGCGCCAUCAUGGCGCAUGCGCGAGAACUUCAGCUCCAAUGGAGGCUGCGGGCUGAGCGGCCACGCUCCGAUUUCCAACUCCAGGAGCGGCGGUAGCGGGAAAGAACGGCAGUUUUCCCUCAAAUCACGGCCUUCUUGCUGCAGAAGGCACACCGAGACCAGCAAAUUAAAAAAAAACACACCUGCAGGAGUUAAGAAAUAACCUUUCUGUAUUUUCUCCAGAGACAAUAAACAAAUUCCUGAUGAUUUUGA